UAACAGAUAAUAAGACAUUAUCUCCCCACGAAAUAAAUUUAAAAACAAACAAGCAGCCUUGUAAACGGGAUAUAUCCAUGUUAGGACUUAAGCACAUGAGGAGAGUUCAACCCAAAAAACAAAUCCAUUAUGUUGGAGAACUUUAAGACUUAAGUACAACAUCAAGUACAUUAUCCUACUUGUGGGAUUCCUAUAGUUUGACAUGAUUUCUAAAGCCUUUUUCAAAACCAUAUUAGUAGGUCAACUCACUGUUUUGGUAAUCUCUGGUGAGGUUUCUGAAAACCUGUUUGCUCUAAGACCAUAGGGUUAGGAUUACACCAAGCCCAUCCACCCAACUGUACAAACUCUGACUCAAACCACCCAUCAAUGUAAGGAUUUGCAUGUGCAUCAUCUCCCCUGCGGUUCACAACUCUGGUCAGCACAUGGCAGAACUUGAAAUAAUGUCUCAUGGCUGACCAACCUGCGCCCAGGUUACCACCUUCGUAUGACCCUACCCCUGUGGUGGUAGCUCCAUUGGAGAUCAUUCAGUGAUUCAACUUACUUUUCUCACAGAUUAUUUUAUUAUUUUUUCCAUAUUUCUAUACAAAAGAUGUCUUCCAACAGCCAAUAAACAUCCAUAACAGAUUCACCCUUCUUUAUCAAGCAUAUUGUUAGUAUUACAUAGGAUUUCAAAAUUAAGUAAUGAUUAAGUGGGUUGGGCUACAAAGCUCGUCUCACCACAAUUGUUGAAUCUAUUCCUACAAAACAUGAACAAUGGAUGAAGACUAAUGCUUAACAAUGUAAUGUUAUUAAAUCCACAAUACACCUCACCCAAACCUAUUUUUUGUCGGCAUGAAACAUUUCGAUAACUUUGAAGUGAGGCCCAUAUACCAAUGGCAGACAACAAACCUACAGUGUGCUGAGAUCUCUUGACACUUCUUUCAACACAGUUAUGAGGGCCCUGCUUAGCUUGGGUGGCUUCAUGUUACAUAUGUUAAGACUUUGGGCUUGUAUAGCUUGCCACAAAGAGGUUUGUUUGCUUAUAGGUUACAACCACAUUGGGAUGUGUUAGAAUUAUUGGUUAUUGUGUAUGAGUUAUGUGUGUAUGAGUUGUGUUCAAGUGUGUUCCAACUAAGAGUGAGUUGGAAAGGAGUGUGGUUAGUUACUUUGUUUUCUAUAAAUGUAAGUGUAGAGGUGUUUAAGACCUCAAGUAAUACAUAUUUCUGUAUUCCAUUUUAACAUGAUGCAAACCAUAUGCACUUUAGAAUCUUUCCAAUUGCAUCCCGUAUGCACCUUAUAUGUGACAUCCAUGCAGCACUACACAUUGCCUCCAAUAUUAUAUUUCAUGAGAAGCAAACAUACUGACAUAGAUUAUCAUUCACAAGAGGCAACUUGGAGCCUGGAGACAUCGGCACUAGAUU
rnacentral:sRNA from 1 species